AUGAGCCGCCUGAUGAUGAGUCCCAAGGUGGCCCGGAUAGAAAAUGACCCUGCCUUUAGCCAGGACGUGGGUCUCCAGCUUGUCUUCCGUGUGAUCACUUGUCACUGCGCUUUUUCUUUCGCCAGUGGUACCCAGGGCUGCCAGGCAGGGCCCUGCAGGGAACAGACCCAAGGGCUGACAUGGGGAUGUCUGCUGAAGGUCGUAUUUACCACGAUAAGGGCAGGGCUGGGAGACUGGGCAGCCAGUUUCACCCUCGCACAGGGUACCUGGCAAGACCAGCAGCCGGAGGUGACGUCCUCAGUAAAGAACGGUGGCCACUGGAAACUGUGCGGCUGGAAGGGGAAACGCUUGGGCCUCUGAUGGGGACCAGCCUGGGGUGGGGUCAGCCAGGGUCAGCUGCCUUUCCUCCAUGCUGGGACGGAGAUGUUGUGUGCGUGUGACAAAGCAUUUGAUAGCACGCCAAAAGUUUCCUCCAUUAUGUGUGUGUGAAGUGUUUGACCAGGUCAGAAGUCUUGUUCCAUGCGCGUGUGCUCACACAGAAGCGGAGGGGCCCCGUCGCUCUGCCCUCACGCCGCUGAACCGCAGGGGUCUCCCACUCGUCAGGCUUGCGGCUCAGCCGCUAAGUGUGUCAGGUGUGCCUCCUGGGCUCUCCUUCGUGCUCUGUCCUAUGGUGGCACAGGCGGUGGGGUUAGACAGGUACCGAUCAGAUUACAUACAGUGGCACAGGCGGUGGGGUUAGACAGGUACCGGUCAGAUUAUGGUGGCACAGGCAGGGGGGUUAGACAGGUACCGGUCAGAUUAUGGUGGCACAGGCGGUGUGGGGUUAGGCAGGUACCAGUCAGAUUACGGUGGCACAGGCGGUGGGGUUAGACAGGUACCGGUCAGAUUACAUACAGUGGCACAGGCGGUGGGGUUAGACAGGUACCGGUCAGAUUACGGUGGCACAGGCGGUGUGGGGUUGGACAGGUACCGGUCAGAUUAUGGUGGCACAGGCGGUGUGGGGUUGGACAGGUACCGGUCAGAUUACGGUGGCACAGGCGGUGGGGUUAGACAGGUACCGGUCAGAUUAUGGUGGCACAGGCGGUGUGGGGUUAGACAGGUACCGGUCAGAUGCACAGGCUCCCCACACCCCUGCUGUGGCUUUGGCAGUUUUGGUGCCCUGGGGCUGCUGUGGAACCUGCCCCAGGUGUUUCCUGGUCAUUACAGAUCCCAAGACCCUCCUAGGUCCCAGAUCCCUGGAUCUGGAGGAGUGCGGCCCCUUCUGCCAGGCUUCCUCCCUGGCCCCUUCCACCCUGUACCGUCACCCCCUCACACUCAGGGGUACUGGUCCUGGUACCGUCACCCCCUCACACUCAGGGGUACUGGUCCUGGUACCGUCACCCCCUCACACUCAGGGGCCCGAGGCCCCCCACAGUGCCCUCUGCCCCCACAGUCACCCCUGCCAGGGCGCCGGCGGCCACAUCCCUCCAGUGCCCUGCAGCAGCUGUCUUCUGGCCAAUGCCUCCUGGGCCCUCCCAGCUGGGCCGGGGCUGCCGCCUGCCCUCCUGGGUAUGGAGCAGGACCUGGAGAUCCUGCGCCUCCUGCUUUCAGCCUCGCCUGAUGCCCCCUUUCAGAGAUGCCUGAGCCUCCCCAGGCUCUCCCUGUGGCUCCAAGUAGCCUCCUCUGGCCUCACCGUAAGUGAAAAGCGUCUGGAUAAGAGCAGCCGUUUGUUCUUCCCGAUACGGCGCCCCCUGCUGUUUUCUCUGGACUCCAAGCGGCAGGCCUGA